UGUCUUUUAAAUAAAGACUAGAAUGAAUGGCCAAACGAGGUUCCACCUGUCUCCUACAGACAAUCAGUGAAAUUGAUCUUCCUGUGCAAAAGCAGGAAUAACACUAUAAGACGAGAAGACCCUGUGGAACUUCAAAUACAAGUCAACUACUAUCCACAUUCCCCCCACUGGGCCUAUACCUAAGUAACACCUGAUUUAUAUUUUCGGUUGGGGCGACCUCGGAGUAAAACAAAACCUCCGAAAAAAGAACUCUAUCUAAACCUAGACUUACAACCCAAAGUGCCUCCAGCAAAACGAUCCAGAUAUAUUUGAUCAACGAACCAAGCUACCCCAGGGAUAACAGCGCAAUCCCGUCCUAGAGUCCCUAUCGACGAUGGGGUUUACGACCUCGAUGUUGGAUCAGGACAUCCUGAUGGUGCAACCGCUAUCAAGGGUUCGUUUGUUCAACGAUUAAUAGU
rnacentral:rRNA from 1 species